AUACGGAGGAUGCGAGCGUUAUCCGGAUUUAUUGGGUUUAAAGGGAGCGUAGGUGGGAUAUUAAGUCAGCUGUGAAAGUUUGGGGCUCAACCUUAAAAUUGCAGUUGAUACUGGUUUCCUUGAGUACGGUAGAGGUGGGCGGAAUUCGUGGUGUAGCGGUGAAAUGCUUAGAUAUCACGAAGAACUCCGGUCGCGAAGGCAGCUGAGCUGUGCGGAACUGGGACUGAUGCUCGAAAGUGCAGAUAUCAAACAUGAAUAGGUUCGCUGGUAGUCCGCUCAGUAAACGAUGAAUACUCGGUGUUUGCGAUACACGGUAAUCGGCCAAGCGAAAGCGUAAAGUAUUCCCCCGGGGGAGUCCGCCGGAAGCUGUGAAACUCAAAUGAAUUGACGGG
rnacentral:rRNA from 1 species